AGUAAAAUAAGCUAAAUAAAGCUAUUGGGUUCAUACCCCAAACAUGAGUAUUCCUCUUUUACUA
rnacentral:tRNA from 1 species